GUGCUGUGAUGAGUGAAAAUUUAACACAUCAUGCUGACAAAACACCGUGGUGAACUUUAAACGCUGAGCAUA